GGGGCUGGGUUUGAACCUGCCAUCUCCAGCAUAUGGGGCCAGCGCCCUACUCCUUUGAGCCACAGGCGCUGCCUCUGUGUUCCGAUUUUAAAUGGCCAGCUGACUGGGAAACCCUUUCUUCCUGUUGUGGCCUACAGAGGUUCAAACCAGCAGGUCGGUUGUGUAGCUGCCUCUCUGCUGGAUCCAAUAAAGAGAUCAACCUCUUCACUUCCUCCAGAGUCUUCAGGAGAACACAGGUGAAUUGGGGUGAGGCUUCGAAAGUCACCAGUUUGCCGGUCCUCCAGCAGUCGCAGUUGAGGGAAGAUCGGGGCCAGC